CUGCAGCAACAGUUAGCCACUG
rnacentral:misc_RNA from 1 species